UUUCCGUAGGUGAACCUGCGGAAGGAUCAUUACAGUAGUCACCCGGGGCGCCGCAAGGCCUCCCGGGUAACCUACCACUCUUUGUUUAUUACACUUUGUUGCUUUGGCAGGCCUGCCCUCGGGCUGCUGGCUCCGGCCGGCGAGCGCUUGCCAGAGGACCUAAACUCUGUUUGUCUAUACUGUCUGAGUACUAUAUAAUAGUUAAAACUUUCAACAACGGAUCUCGUGGUUCUG
rnacentral:misc_RNA from 1 species